rnacentral:rRNA from 1 species
CCUACGGGUGGCAGCAGUGGGGAAUAUUGGGCAAUGGACGCAAGUCUGACCCAGCAACGCCGCGUGAAGGAAGAAGGCUUUCGGGUUGUAAACUUCUUUUAAGGGGGAAGAGCAGAAGACGGUACCCCUUGAAUAAGCCACGGCUAACUACGUGCCAGCAGCCGCGGUAAUACGUAGGUGGCAAGCGUUGUCCGGAUUUACUGGGUGUAAAGGGCGUGCAGCCGGAGAGACAAGUCAGAUGUGAAAUCCACGGGCUCAACCCGUGAACUGCAUUUGAAACUGUUUCCCUUGAGUGUCGGAGAGGUAAUCGGAAUUCCUUGUGUAGCGGUGAAAUGCGUAGAUAUCAGGAGGAACAUCGGUGGCGUAAGCGCUUUACUGGGCCGUAAUUGACACUGAGGAACGAAAGCCGGGGUAGCAAAUGGGAUUAGAUACCCCGGUAGUC